GCGAAAUUAACAGCAAUGAAAAUGGCGAAACGAAACUUGUGAAUCGUGCAUUUGCUCUUCAUGGUAGCUGCCAGAAAAUCGAAUCAAACUUACGGGACACUGGAUUACAGGUUGCUGCCACUACUCCAUGUGCCCGCAAUUGUCUUGCGUGUAUGAUUACACUUAUGUCGUCGCCCACCACGGCGGAAGUGUUUUGCGUACACGCGUUUCAGCAUGAAGCCUGCAGGUGGACGUAAAUUGUAGAAGGCAGCUAGUGGGGGAGAAGAUCAUGGUCAUAGGUCAUGUGACUCCUGGAGCUCCCAGUGGGCUCCCUUGUGGAGUACUUUUCAGAACACACACACACACACAGUUUGCUCACAGAACCAACGAGUAGGAUGUUGCUUGAAUACUGAGAGAAAAUGGCAUAACACAUACAAAUAUCGUGUGACACAUAUGACAAUAAAAACAUUUUUCACGAGG